rnacentral:rRNA from 1 species
UACGGGGGGGGCUAGCGUUGUUCGGAAUUACUGGGCGUAAAGGGCGCGUAGGCGGUCUGCUAAGUUGGAUGUGAAAACUCUGGGCUUAACCCAGAGCCUGCAUUCAAUACUGACAGGCUAGAGUUCUGGAGGGGAUAGCGGAAUUCCUGGUGUAGCGGUGAAAUGCGUAGAUAUCAGGAGGAACACCGGUGGCGAAGGCGGCUCUCUGGGACGGUACUGACGCUGAGACGCGAAAGCGUGGGGAGCAAACAGG